GAUGAACGCUAGCGGCAGGCCUAAUACAUGCAAGUCGAACGAUACUUUCCAGCUUGCUGGAAAGGAAAGUGGCGCACGGGUGCGUAACGCGUAUGCAACCUACCUUAAUCAGGGGGAUAGCCCGAAGAAAUUCGGAUUAACACCGCAUAAAAUCACAGUACAGCAUUGUACAAUGAUCAAAUAUUUAUAGGAUUAAGAUGGGCAUGCGUGACAUUUGCUAGUUGGCGGGGUAACGGCCCACCAAGGCGACGAUGUCUAGGGGAUCUGAGAGGAUGACCCCCCAAACUGGUACUGAGACACGGACCAGACUCCUACGGGAGGCAGCAGUAAGGAAUAUUGGUCAAUGGAGGCAACUCUGAACCAGCCAUGCCGCGUGCAGGAAGACAGCCCUCUGGGUCGUAAACUGCUUUUAUUCGGGAAUAAACCUACUUACGUGUAAGUAGCUGAAUGUACCGAAGGAAUAAGGAUCGGCUAACUCCGUGCCAGCCGCCGCCGUAA
rnacentral:rRNA from 1 species